CCUACGGGGGGCAGCAGUGAGGAAUAUUGGUCAAUGGGCGAGAGCCUGAACCAGCCAAGUCGCGUGAGGGAGUACUGCCCUAUGGGUUGUAAACCUCUUUUGUCGGGGAGCAAAAGCCGGACGUGUCCGGCUGUGAGAGUACCCGCAGAAAAAGCAUCGGCUAACUCCGUGCCAGCAGCCGCGGUAAUACGGAGGAUGCGAGCGUUAUCCGGAUUUAUUGGGGUUAAAGGGUGCGCAGGCGGAUUUUUAAGUCAGCGGUCAAAUCGUGGGGCUCAACCCCAUCCAGCCGUUGAAACUGGGGAUCUAGAGUGUGCGAGAGGUAUGCGGAAUGCGUGGUGUAGCGGUGAAAUGCAUAGAUAUCACGCAGAACCCCGAUUGCGAAGGCAGCAUACCGGUGCACAACUGACGCUCAGGCACGAAAGCGUGGGUAUCGAACAGGAUUAGAUACCCCAGUAGUC
rnacentral:rRNA from 1 species